rnacentral:SRP_RNA from 1 species
GUCUGGGUCCUGCGCAAUAAGAGUCUGUGAACCUCGUCAGGUCCGGAAGGAAGCAGCGAUAAGCGGAGCCUCUUAUGUGCCGCAGACAAGCCUUUUCCGU